rnacentral:rRNA from 1 species
AUUGAACGCUGGCGGCAUGCUUUACACAUGCAAGUCGAACGGCAGCGCGGGCUUCGUCCUGGCGGCUAGUGGCGAACGGGUGUGUAAUGCAUCGGAACUUGCCCAGUAGUGGGGGAUAGCCCGGCGAAAGCCGGAUUAAUACCGCAUACGACCUUAGGGUGAAAGCUGGGGACCGUAACGCCUCUCGCUAUUUUAUCUGCCGAUGUCGGAUUAGCUAGUUGGUGUGGUAAAGGCUUACCAAGGCGACGAUCCGUAGCUGGUCUGAGAGGACGACCAGACACACUGGAAGUGAGACACGGCCCAGACGCCUACGGGAGGAAGCAGUGGGGAAUGUUGGACAAAGGGGGAAAACAUGAUACAGCAAUGCCGCGUGCGGGAAGAAGGACUUCGGGUUGUAAACAGAUUUUGUUAGGGAAGAAAACAUCUGGGAUAAUACCCCGGGGGGAUGACGGUACCGGAAGAAUAAGCACCGGCUAACUACGUG